rnacentral:lncRNA from 1 species
GUGGGAACAGCUGGAGGCCCUGAAGAAAGAGAAGGAAACUCAGCUGGUGUGCACAACGCACGUGUGCAGUGUUCUGCAGGAGUGUGGGUCCACUCGGGUCCAGCUGCAAAACCUGAUACUCCAGCUAGAAACCCUGGAGCUGGGGAACUCAGAGGACGGCCACCAUGUUCUGCGAGUGGGCCAGCAGAAGAUGCUGGGGCUGGAGAAAGACAUUCGCCACCUGCAAAGGGCGGCUAGCAAGGUUGAGGAGAUGGGCCCCGCAGAGAGCCCGUCCCUGCAAGGACACGUGGAGACGCUGCAGGGGCUGCUGGAGCGAGUGCGGGAGCAAGUGGCCCAGCGGGGCCACGCCCCCGCCCGCCCCCGCCUCCUGCCCGCUGCAGCUCCUUGGUGACAGCGGUGACACCCAGACGCACGCACCUACCCGACCUUUCCGGCGAGACAGACAUCCCCACGCGUGCACCCACUCUCAUCCACAGAUGCCCGCAUGCAUGCGCGAUCACACACACACACUCGCUCGCUCGCUCGCUCUCUCUCUCGCUCUUCCUGGGGCUCAGCCCCGUGGAGCCAACCAAACACCCGACCAACAGCAGCAUAGAGAGAGGCUGGGGCCUCAGCGCCCCUUCCCUUAGCCCCCUUCCCUUGCUGCAACCCCUGCCCAGGAGAGCUGGGUCCGCACCACGGUCUACCCAGGUGGCUUUCUUAAAGGGAAAGUUGCAUCAGUCUCUUGAGGCUCUCUGCCCCGAGUCUGCCGGCCCGCUGUGCUGCUUGUCAGUCCUCCUGAACUUGUGUUUUGGUUUUCAGGAGGUGAGGGUCAAGAGUUUGCUGAAAGUUUGGAGAGUGAAGAAGCUUUGGGAGACCUAGGCAAGUCCCUCCCCUCUCCCAGCAGCUCUCCUGGCAGCCCUGCCUGCCCCUGCCACCCAUCCACCCUAUUCUCAUCCCUGUGCCCACAGACUUCUCAGGCUCCUCCUCCCAGGGAAUAAAAUUACAAGUUGCUCCAAGCUUUCCGACGAUUGAACCCCACGAACCCCUGGGAGUGGGCUCCGAAAAGGAGCCCCCUGCUCCGCCCCAUCCCCUCUCCCCCCCAGCUCCUGCUCUUCCAGGCUGUGGUUUUUCCUGGAAAGAAGCCAGAAAGGCCUGGGGCACUUGGGGGACUGGGGCUGGAGUUAGCCUGCCAGGCCCCCGGCCUUCUGCGCCUGCGUUCCCCCUAGAGAGAAGUCUGAGCAAAUUCCAUCCCCUUUAGAGCGGUGCCGCUGGGGACUGUGGGCACAGCUGGGUAAGGCCUGGGUCCUCCUCCUUGGGACUGGAGGGCUUGGGGGUCCUUUCUCCACGGACCUGCUCACUGGUUUGGUCAAACCUACACUGGCUCGGGUUCUAUCCUUGUGUUGGGAAGGUCCCCUGGAAGAGGGCACGGCAAUCAACUGUAGUAGUCUUGCCUAGAGAAUCCCAUGGACAGAGGAGCCUGGUGGGCUACAGUCUAUAGGGUUGCAAAGAGUUGGACACUACUGAAAGGACUUAGCACGCACAGGGGUGGUUGUAUUAUAAGGGCUGCUGACACCAACCUGGGCCCUCUGUUCUCGCCCUGGGGAGACUUUGGAGGUUCCAAUCCUAGCUAUAGGAGACUUUGCCAAAGGGAGCUUUGCUGUGCUUCAGUUUCCUGUCCUGCAAAAUAAAUGAAACACCUUGCUCCAGGCUGCCUCUGAGCAGCAGAGCUUGGCAGUUGGUGGAAAGGGGCUCCCACAUUUGCUUGUCUUGAGGCCGCCAGCUUUCGAGGAGAAGGGCCAGUUAGUACCGGCCGUCAGGGGACUGUUGUCGCCCCAGCAUAUGCUCAGGAAGGGACCAGUCUCUUCUCUGCACCCUGAGUCUGUCCUCACUCUUGUCUGCCCAGGAAACCAGUUUCUUUGUUCCCUGGGGAUAGUCAGCCUCCAAAAAGCUGAUUCGCACAUGCCAAACUCAAAUAAGAUCAGUUGACAAGUGAGAUUCCACUUUAUUUACAGAGGCUCUGAGCAAGAUAGCAGGUAUCAGGCACUGACACUUCCUGCCAAGGAACACCAAUCCGUUCCACCAGGCUUCUCCGGGCCCCAACCACUCAGAACUUAUAACUUAUUCACAUUAGAGGCUUGGUUAGAACCGGGACGAUUUGGAGACAUUACUCUCAUCAGCAAGAGUAUUUUCAUUUUUACUUUGUCCCCAGCCUUGCAGGUUUGUGAUUUGUAUUUUAUAGCUUGUUUGUGAUUUGUUUUCUAUGAAUGAACUGCAUGUGUCUUACGUGUGUGUGUCCUCUUCCUGAGCAGUCUGUGGCCCCCAUGCCCCCUGCCCUUGUGCAUUUGUGUAGAUGGAUCUGUGUUUGUGGGGCAGUGGGGUCUCAGUGUGCAUGUGUGCCCAACUCUGGGGACUGGGCCCCUGUGAUCCAAGCCUCCCUCCCUCUGCCUGUCCUGCUGGGAUGUAAAUUCUCUUACUGGUCUCUCCCUCCCUCCUGCUGGGGCUUGUCAUAAAGGGCCAGGACACAGGGAAGACAGGCUGGAGGCUGCUGGAAGAUCCUCCAUGGAGUGGAGUGGGGACAAGGAAGAAUAGGAGGGUGGGACAGUGGCUUCCAUUCCCCUUGAAGGAGUAGACUGGGGCUGGGGGCCCCUGAGAAAAGAGCACUGAGUGUCAGUGAAGCUUCUGGGACCAACGUGGCCACCCCACUCUAAGGACUCCACACAAAGCAGAGGCGGGGGGGGGGGGGGGGGGGGG